CUGCUUUGAAGCCUGUCAGCCCCUCUGCAGAGCACCUCUCCUGUUAGGAAUUGCUGUCCUGGAGAACAAUGGCUGGGAGCAGGGUGAGGGGCAGCCUUUGAUCCCACCUGGCACGUGUCCCAACGGGGCCUGCUCAUGGGCACUGCUGGGUUUUGGCAUUUCUGAUCAUAUCACACUGAAGCACAGGAACUGUGCUUUGCUUGCUACCCCAGAUGACAAUUUAUGAGCAAAUGCCCAUUCCAACAGGCAUGGUUCAAGCUGAUGGAAAUGUUGUCAGUGCUGCUCAAAUGGUGAAGCUGCACACAAACAUGGGCAUGGGAUUGAGAAAGUGA
rnacentral:lncRNA from 1 species